rnacentral:lncRNA from 1 species
AUGCAUGCCCAGCCCCAUGGGAUUGUACACAGCAGCAGUACACCUGGAAAACAAGCUUCUAAACAGGUUUUUGAAGUAAAAAAGAAAAAAAAGAAAAAAAAAAAAAGAAAGAAGAAAAUUAAUAAAAAUGAAGACGAACAAGGAAGUCUGACCCCAAGCUGCUUCAGAGCUUCAGAACCAUUUAUAAUUCCAAUGUCUGAUGUGAGAGAUCUUAGCUGCUGA